rnacentral:rRNA from 1 species
CUGGCGGCGUGCUUAACACAUGCAAGUCGAACGAGACGAUUGAAAGCUUGCUUUGAGAGUCGAGUGGCAAACGGGUGAGUAACGCGUAGACAACCUGCCGCAAAGAUGGGGACAACAGUCCGAAAGGACUGCUAAUACCGAAUGUUGUAUCGUUUCCGCAUGGAGAUGAUAUUAAAGAUGGCCUCUACUUGUAAGCUAUCGCUUUGCGAUGGGUCUGCGUCUGAUUAGCUAGUUGGUGGGGUAACGGCCUACCAAGGCGACGAUCAGUAGCCGGUCUGAGAGGAUGAACGGCCACAUUGGGACUGAGACACGGUCCAGACUCCUACGGGAGGCAGCAGUGGGGAAUCUUCCGCAAUGGGCGAAAGCCUGACGGAGCAACGCCGCGUGAGUGAAGAAAAGGGGUUUCGGCUCGUAAAGCUCUGUUGUCGGGGACGAAUGUGCAAGAUGCGAACAGUUUCUUGCAAUGACGGUACCUGGCGAGGAAGCCACGGCUAACUACGUGCCAGCCGCGGC